GUCACUUAAUUAAUUUUUCAUGUGAUAAAUAAGACUAGAAGGGAUCAUUAGUCUUAGAAACUUCAAGAAAAUUUGAGAAAGAGAAAAACAACAAAAAGAAGAACAAAAGCUUAAAGGCCAUACGGCCAUAGCUUGCAAAUUUUUGCCCUUUGAAAUCUUUCUCCAAAAAUUAUUUUCUUGUGGUAUUUCUACUAAUUCAAGGGUCCUUUACAACUUGGUGUAAUUAUUUUGGAAGAAAGAGCACUUGUUUCUUCAAGUUGACAACUUGGUCAAGUGAAAAAGAUUGUAGAAAAAGGUCAGCAGACAGGUGGACGUGAUCCUUAGAAGCUCUACCAGCCGCACUUGACAGCGCUCCAGUUGUUCCGGAGCCUCACUCCAGCGGUACUAUUUUAUGCAUAUACAUUCGGGCUUGGUAGCACCCCGGCCCUUUCUAUGUAUAAGUGUACUAUGUCUAGAGGCUCGUAGACAGAUACGUACAGUCAGUCAGGUACAGAUAUAUGUAUAGUGUUUUGGCAUGUUAAUAUUGUUGUACAAGGUAAUAA